AUUGAACGCUGGCGGCAGGCUAACACAUGCAAGUCGAGCGGAGCGAGGGUGCUUGCACCUUAGCUUAGCGGCGGACGGGUGAGUAAUGCUUAGGAAUCUGCCUAUUAGUGGGGGACAACAUUCCGAAAGGGAUGCUAAUACCGCAUACGCCCUACGGGGGAAAGCAGGGGAUCUUCGGACCUUGCGCUAAUAGAUGAGCCUAAGUCGGAUUAGCUAGUUGGUGGGGUAAAGGCCUACCAAGGCGACGAUCUGUAGCGGGUCUGAGAGGAUGAUCCGCAACACUGGGACUGAGACACGGCCCAGACUCCUACGGGAGGCAGCAGUGGGGAAUAUUGGACAACGGGCGGAAGCCUGAUCCAGCCAUGCCGCGUGUGUGAAGAAGGCCUUUUGGUUGUAAAGCACUUUAAGCGAGGAGGAGGCUACUAGUAUUAAUACUACUGGAUAGUGGACGUUACUCGCAGAAUAAGCACCGGCUAACUCUGUGCCAGCCGCCGCGGUAAAAC
rnacentral:rRNA from 1 species